UACGGAGGGUGCAAGCGUUGUCCGGAAUUAUUGGGCGUAAAGAGCUCGUAGGCGGUCUGUCGCGUCUGCUGUGAAAACUCAGGGCUUAACCCUGAGCUUGCAGUGGGUACGGGCAGACUAGAGUGCGGUAGGGGAGACUGGAAUUCCUGGUGUAGCGGUGAAAUGCGCAGAUAUCAGGAGGAACACCGGUGGCGAAGGCGGGUCUCUAGUACGGUACUGACGCUGGAGAACGCGAAAGCGUGGGGAGCGAACAGG
rnacentral:rRNA from 1 species